rnacentral:rRNA from 1 species
GACGAACGCUGGCGGCGCGCCUAACACAUGCAAGUCGAACGAGCGAGAGAGAGCUUGCUUUCUCGAGCGAGUGGCGAACGGGUGAGUAACGCGUGAGGAACCUGCCUCAAAGAGGGGGACAACAGUUGGAAACGACUGCUAAUACCGCAUAAGCCCACGGGUCGGCAUCGACCAGAGGGAAAAGGAGCAAUCCGCUUUGAGAUGGCCUCGCGUCCGAUUAGCUAGUUGGUGAGGUAAUGGCCCACCAAGGCAACGAUCGGUAGCCGGACUGAGAGGUUGACCGGCCACAUUGGGACUGAGACACGGCCCAGACUCCUACGGGAGGCAGCAGUGGGGAAUAUUGCACAAUGGGGGAAACCCUGAUGCAGCGACGCCGCGUGAGCGAAGAAGUAUUUCGGUAUGUAAAGCUCUAUCAGCAGGGAAGAAGAAAUGACGGUACCUGACUAAGAAGCACCGGCUAAAAUACGUAG